CGAAAGCCUGACGGAGCAAUACCGCGUGAGGGAGGAAGGCUCUUGGGUUGUAAACCUCUUUUCUCAAGGAAUAAGAAAGUGAAGGUACUUGAGGAAUAAGCAUCGGCUAACUCCGUGCCAGCAGCCGCGGUAAUACGGAGGAUGCAAGCGUUAUCCGGAAUGAUUGGGCGUAAAGCGUCCGCAGGUGGCAUUGAAAGUCUGCUGUUAAAGAGUCUGGCUCAACCAGAUAAAGGCAGUGGAAACUACAAAGCUAGAGUGCGUUCGGGGUAGAGGGAAUUUCUGGUGUAGCGGUGAAAUGCGUAGAGAUCAGGAAGAACACCGGUGGCGAAGGCGCUCUACUAGGCCGCAACUGACACUGAGGGACGAAAGCUAGGGGAGCGAAUGGGAUUAGAUACCCCAGUAGUCCUAGCCGUAGACGAUGGAUACUAGGCGUUGCUUGUAUCGACCCGAGCAGUGCCGUAGCUAACGCGUUAAGUAUCCCGCCUGGGGAGUACGCACGCAAGUGUGAAACUCAAAGGAAUUGACGGGGGCCCGCACAAGCGGUGGAGUAUGUGGUUUAAUUCGAUGCAACGCGAAGAACCUUACCAGGGCUUGACAUGUCGCGAAUCCCGGUGAAAGCUGGGAGUGCCUUAGGGAGCGCGAACACAGGUGGUGCAUGGCUGUCGUCAGCUCGUGUCGUGAGAUGUUGGGUUAAGUCCCGCAACGAGCGCAACCCUCGUUGUUAGUUGCCAGCACUUAGGGUGGGCACUCUAACAAGACUGCCGGUGACAAACCGGAGGAAGGUGGGGAUGACGUCAAGUCAGCAUGCCCCUUACGUCCUGGGCUACACACGUACUACAAUGCGACGGACAGAGGGCAGCGAGCAUGCGAAUGCAAGCAAAUCCCGAAAACCGGCGCUCAGUUCAGAUCGAAGGCUGCAACUCGCCUUCGUGAAGGUGGAAUCGCUAGUAAUUGCAGGUCAGCGUACUGCAGUGAAUUCGUUCCCGGGCCUUGUACACACCGCCCGUCACACCAUGGAAGCUGGUAGUGCCCGAAGUCGUUACCCCAACCUUUCGGGGAGGGGGAUGCCUAAGGCAGGACUGGUGACUGGGGUGAA
rnacentral:rRNA from 1 species